GUGAACGCUGGCGGUAGGCCUAACACAUGCAAGUCGAACGGCAGCACAGUAAGAGCUUGCUCUUACGGGUGGCGAGUGGCGGACGGGUGAGGAAUACAUCGGAAUCUACUUUUUCGUGGGGGAUAACGUAGGGAAACUUACGCUAAUACCGCAUACGACCUACGGGUGAAAGCAGGGGAUCUUCGGACCUUGCGCGAUUGAAUGAGCCGAUGUCGGAUUAGCUAGUUGGCGGGGUAAAGGCCCACCAAGGCGACGAUCCGUAGCUGGUCUAGAGGAUGAUCAGCCACACUGGAACUGAGACACGGUCCAGACUCCUACGGGAGGCAGCAGUGGGGAAUAUUGGACAAUGGGCGCAAGCCUGAUCCAGCCAUACCGCGUGGGUGAAGAAGGCCUUCGGGUUGUAAAGCCCUUUUGUUGGGAAAGAAAAGCAGCAGGUUAAUACCCCGCUGUUCUGACGGUACCCAAAGAAUAAGCACCGGCUAACUUCGUG
rnacentral:rRNA from 1 species